UAAAUUCUUCGGGGCAGGGUGUGAUUCCCAACCGACGGUAACAACAUUUUGUUGAAGUCCGUGACCCGCGCAAGCGGUUGACCCAGUGAAACUCUGGGACCGACAGUAUAGUCUGGAUGGGAGAAGAAAUAG
rnacentral:ncRNA from 2 species